rnacentral:lncRNA from 1 species
GUGGGGAGAGGCUGAGCUAUCUUUGCUGUCACCCAGCAUCGAACAUUUAUCUAGCGGGUUGGAGGCCCUCAUGGUCACGCUUGAAGAGGGACUGAGCCAUCUUUGUUGUCGUCCUGCAUCAAAUAUUCCUCUAGCGGAUUGGAGUGGUAUAUGGAUCCUCUGGAUAUAGGUGGUGCUGCGGAUGACAUACUCACUUGAUCCAUUUGGACAUGGUA